rnacentral:rRNA from 1 species
CGGGUGAGUAACACGUGGGUAACCUGCCUCAAACAGGGGGAUAGCCUUCCGAAAGGAAGAUUAAUACCGCAUAACAUAGUUUAGCCGCAUGGCUAGAUUAUCAAAGGAGUAAUCCGGUUUGAGAUGGACCCGCGGCGCAUUAGCUAGUUGGUGAGGUAACGGCUCACCAAGGCGACGAUGCGUAGCCGACCUGAGAGGGUGAUCGGCCACAUUGGAACUGAGAUACGGUCCAA